rnacentral:rRNA from 1 species
UACGGAGGGUGGCAAGCGUUAUCCGGAUUACUGGGUUAAAGGGUGUGUAGGCGGACUUUAAGUCAGGGUGAAUCCGAGGCUCAACCUCGGAAACUGCCUUUGAUACUAUUGGAUCUUGAAUGUUGUUGAGGUGGGCGGAACGGGUCAUGUAGCGGUGAAAUGCAGUAGAUAUGACCCGGAACACCGAAGUUGACGAACGGCAGCC